GUUUCAUAGUUGCAGUGAGGUGAGUGAGAUUGACCUGUGAGUGGCAUUUAGAGGCAGCGGUGUCUAUAACGGGUUAAUAUUUGGUUAUAUUCGUUCAGAGUGUCUGUCAUCUUAAAUAAAUUAUCAUAAAAUCAUGUUAUAAGGGAUAAUUCUUUCACAGAAUGUUUGUCAUUCUCACACAGAAUCCGAACAUGGAAUCUUUCAUUUCAGCUUGGUUAGUUGAUCGUGUCUGUAAUGUAAUAAUAAUUCUUUAUGAGCAGGCUGCAAUGCGACAUCUCGGUUAUGCUCUGCCAGGCUUACCAACAUUCCAGCACGAGAUUUAUUUCAUACACUGGCAGCAUGCUAUGUGUGUGUCCUGAGAGGGGUCAAGUGUGAAGUUACCUUUGCUUCAUUUUACAACACUGACAGGUUUUGCGUCACUGAACUGAAUAGUGUGAUAUGGAAAGGGAAAUUGCACAUUUUAGCUGAGCUAUGAAAAAAACGGUGAGAGAAUGUUCCAAGUUUGGCUAUUUAGGCAUAAAAUUAACAAUUUAUUUGUCAACUCUUACAAUUCCCAGCUGACGGUCACAUGAACCCAGUUAUUGGCCAGACAAUAAUUAAAUUAUUACUAUUUAUACAUAUUAUUUUUUUUAUUUUUUUUUGUCUGCAGGCCCAUCCCCGAUCUCCAUUAUUCCAUUUUUAUUUUUCACUUACAUAGUUAAGAGAACUGUCCUCAUUCCAGCUAGGGCAAGCACAGCUUCCUUAAUAUUUUUGCAAAUGUAUUUGAAGUUAUUUUGCCCAUUUAUAAGUGCCACUGCAUUACCACUUGGUAAUUAUUUAAACUUCCCUGAUAGAUGGAGGAAUUGUGUGCACUCCGCCGCAUACACUCCUCUCUCCCCACUAUCCGCUCAACACCCAAAACACUGUAUCAUCUCUAGGAGCACAUUGGGCCAACAGGAGCAACACGGGAAAGGUGACCGUACAGGGGAAAUGCAUUCCACCCCCGGCCACAAAUGAAUGGGAAUGGUAAGAGUAGAGAUGAACGUGGAUAAGCAUUGUCAUAAAGACAUAGAACUGAAAUGCUAUGGGCCCUAACAUUGUCUGUGAGCAUUACAAACAAGUGUAUGGGAGUACAAAACCCAUUAUUGCUGUAUAUUCACUAUAUGUUUGUCACGGAGUGCACUUACAGGCUUUUUGUCUUAUUGUAAGAAUUGUCAGGAACUAAAAAUUUAAAGGGACAAUAUAGUCACCAGAUCAACCACAGAUUAAUGUAGUUGUUAUGGGGUCUAUAGCUUUUCCAUGCAGACUUUUUAAUGUAAACACUGCCUUUUUUAAUGCCUAGUUACACCUCUAGUGGCAAUCGCUCAGACCGCUUAUAUAUAGUGCUUUCUGGUGGUGAUCAGUGUCUACGCUCUGCAUGGAGAUGCUGAAUGCUUCCAAUAGAGAUGCAUUGAUUUAAUGCAUCUCUAUGAGAAGAUGCUGAUUGGCACAGCUCAGCGUUUUGCCAUGAAUGCGCAAUGUCCUUCCAUUGCUUUCCUGUGGGAAAGUAUUGCAUUGGCUGAGCUUAUCAAAUUUGAUGAUCUCCGCCACAGGGCGAGACCAGAGCGAAGCUGGACAAAAGGUGAGUUUAAACAUCUUUUUAAAGCAAAGAGAGGGGGGCUUGGUACCUAAACUUUCAUUUUACCACUGUAGGGUCAGGAAUACGUUUGUGUUUCUGACACUAUAAUGUUCCAUUAAAGCCAAAAUAUCAGAACUGAAAGCAUAGCUAACUCGGACAAUAUUUCUUAUUCAGCUGUUUUGGCAUUAAAACUGAAAUUUACUUUGAAUUCCCAAAUUUUCUCACUAUAAUAAAUGAUGAUCUAUUUUGCAAUAUUGUAAGCGAAUUUCUCUCACAAUGUGAAGAUUUUAAUAUGGAAUAAUUUUCUACCGUUUGCUGUCAGCUACUCUAUCACAGUUAUUUACUAAGCUGAGAAUUGAAGUGAAUUUAAAAAUUAAGGCCAUAGUUGCCGAACUGAAAGCAUAACUGGUGUAUAGAAUUUCUCCAGUUUGGCUAUUUUGACCUAACAUUUGAAAUUCACUUUGAAUUCUCACUUUAGUGAAUAAGGCUGUCUGUCUCGGAUGGCGUUCUGACUCUUCGCUACUCUGCUGUCGGAGUGACUUUCUGUCUCUCAGCAAAUAGCCAUAGGGUAAGAGCCAGGCUUGCCUGCUUUUAUCAACAGUGCUACCUGAGUACCAGGGAACCUUUUUACAGUCAAUAUGUUUUCUGGAUGGAUUUCUUAUUAUCUGCUCUGCUGUCUGCAGUAAGUUUAGUCGGUCAAUACAGCUAAGCUGGAGUUUGCAGUCCCUGUAGAAUUACAUUCUACCUUGCCAAGCAAGGCUGCAAUAUGCAUCCUUUAUUCCAUUUUCAAUAAUCUAAUUGUAUUUGGUUUUAUUUCUUAUAUCCUUAUCUUAUAUCCUUUUCUUAUCUCUUCAGCAUCCCAUUUUAUUCUCAAAUUAUAAGUUGUGUGUGUGCAUUCAACCUUGUAUUUACUGUUAAUUUCUGGUUGAAAGAUUGUAGCCAUAGAGCAUCAUUGCUGCCGAUAAGGGGGUACAACUGGUAUUCCAUUAAGAGGCUGGCAUUGCUAUGGAGUCUGAUUGGCAUCCUGUAACUCUAUGUGUUCAGGUUGGGGAAAAAUAUCUCAGAUUUAAAGAUUCGCAGGAAAUCAGAUCAAACCAUUGCAUUGAAUGCUAAAAAUAUAUGUGUAGCUCCUACCUCUGCUGGAACUGGACAUUCAUGGAAUCAGAAAGGAGGCUCCUACUCCACAGCAGCAAUACAAAUAUAUAAGUAUAUAAUAUCUCCCUUAAUUUGACAUUAUUGCAGGAAGGCAGUGGAUGGACCUCUCUACAGUUUGCUAUGGCCAACAUUCUCCUUCUUGAGCACAAAGAUUAAUUUUUAAUCCAAAACAUUGCCUGGUACCCACAGGGGCGAGUUUCUGUGCGUGUCUCCCAACAGUCCCAGGUUCAGUAGGACAGUCCUGGUUUUGGGUUCUACUCUCGCUAUCUUGGGAACUGCCCCGAGCAAGUUCAAGCCAAGCACAUCAUAAGGUUUGCUCGUAGGGUAUUCAGCCCAUGCUCCGAGCUCUUUAGAAGAGCUGUGUGCAUUUGCAACCCUUAGUAGAACUGGUCAGAGUAUCUUCUAGUCAGUCUGGCUUGCCCCUCAUUUUGAUUAUCACUGCUUCAUUUGGCUGAUACAAAAUAGAUUUAAGACAAAUUGUGAGACACAUUCGGCAUAUAUUAUUUUGUACUUAUCAUUUGUGAAUGGCAGGGGCUGAUAAGUUUGUAGUGUUGCUUAUAUGUGAUGGGGCGUAUAUACAUUUUUAAUUAAUAAAGUCUGUGGUGACAUCAAUGUGGAGUCUGCAUAAACAUACACUUCUAUGUAUGUGUCCAUUACUUAAAGAUGGGUAACCGCUAUUAUAGACUUUCUUGGAGCACAUUUAAUGUAACCACACAUUUUUACUUAUCACAAUUUCCUUAAUUAUAUUGUAUUUUUAUUAUGUUUGAUUUCUUAAUUUGCAGAGAUGGCAGCUUUAAUUUGGAGGUGCUCAUUUACCAGAGCAAAAGCUAGAUGGCUCCACCAAAGGUGUUUAUCCCUUUAUAACAGCAGCCAUGGUUUUGAUGAGACAAAAAUUAAGGAGAAACUUGCACAAUUCUCAGGGGGCUCUAUAGACCUCCAUAAAGGUGAAAAUGGUAUUGCAGAACUCUGUAUAAAUAAUCCAAGUCGAAUGAAUGCGUUCACAGG
rnacentral:lncRNA from 1 species